rfam:Aedes aegypti strain Liverpool supercont1.246 genomic scaffold, whole genome shotgun sequence.
UGCCCAGCAACUCCUAUCCCUACCUCUUCGCGGUACUGGCCGGGGUACGAGUAACCUUAGGGAAGA